CCUACGGGAGGCAGCAGUGAGGAAUAUUGGUCAAUGGACGAGAGUCUGAACCAGCCAAGUAGCGUGAAGGAUGACUGCCCUAUAGGUGGUAAACUUCUUUUAUAUGGGAAUAAAAUGUUCCACGGGAGGGAUUUUGUAUGUACAAUAUGAAUAAGGAUCGGCUAAAUCCGUGCCAGCAGCCGCGGUAAUACGGAGGAUCCGAGCGUUAACCGGCUUUAUUGGGUUUAAAGGGAGCGUAGGUGGAUUGUUAAGUCAGUUGUGAAAGUUUGCGGCUCAACCGUAAAAUUGCAGUUGAAACUGGCAGUCUUGAGUACAGUAGAGGUGGGCGGAAUUCGUGGUGUAGCGGUGAAAUGCUUAGAUAUCACGAAGAACUCCGAUUGCGAAGGCAGUUCACUGGACUGCAACUGACACUGAGGCUCGAAAGUGUGGGUAUCAAACAGGAUUAGAUACCCCUGUAGUC
rnacentral:rRNA from 1 species